CGGUGUAGCUCAGUCGGUAGAGCAGCUGAUUUGUAAUCAGCAGGUCGGGGGUUCAAGUCCGUCCACCG
rnacentral:tRNA from 1 species